rnacentral:lncRNA from 1 species
GGGUUCAAAGAAGACCAAGCAGGCAGACGUGUUCGGGGGCCCGCGGGUUCCGAGACUGGAGACUGGACCUUUGGCUGUCCCCACGUGCAUUCUAGGUCAACGGUGCGGUGGCAGAACCCUGGGGCUCUCCCCCGCGGAACUCGGCCCUGGCCGAGGCCCCAACCACGCUAGUAGGAGGAGGCCGAGCAUCCCUCCUCGAAAUCGCGAAAUCCCGGCCCGACAAUGUAGCCACGGAGUCGAAAGCCGCGUGCGAACUUGGCACUCACAAAGCCUAGAUAACCGUCUAUUUUCUCCUGUAAAAUAGGAGGGAUGGACCCCCACAGAUCAUUGUAAAAGGUUCUUACAAAGAAAAAUCCUCCUGGACUGGGCACGGUGGCUCACGCCUGUAAUCCCAGCACUUUGAGCGGAUCACACUUCGAGACCAACCUGACCAACAUGGAGAAACCCCGUCUCUACUAAAUUAGCCGGGCGUAGUGGCGCAUGCCUGUAAUCCCAGCUACUCUGGAGGCUGAGGCAGGAGAAUCGCUUUAACCCGGGAGGCAGAGGUUGUGGUGAGCCGAGAUCGCGCCAUUGCACUCCAGCCUGGGCAACAAGAGCGGAAUUCUGUCUCAAAAAAAAAAAAGAGAGAAAAGAAAAAUCCUGGAAGUCAAGUAAAAAUGUGUGAAGGUGUUUUAUAAAAUAUGAAAUAUCUAGAAUACACAAAUCUAUAGAAGGACUCGGGGAAAGGGGAGUGAAUGCUAAUAAAUACAGAGGUUCUUUCUGGGGUGAUGAAAAUGUACUAGUACUGAUUGUGGCCGCGCUAGCACAAAAAUCCGUUUCAUUGGCCAGACGCUAUGGCCCAGGGAAAAAAAGAAGGACUAGGGGGAAUGGGGAGUGAAUGCUAAUGAAUAUGCAGUUUCUUUUUGUGGUCAUGAAAGUGCACUAAAAUUUUCAUGCUAGCACAAAAAUUGAAUUGUACACUUCAAAUAGGUGUAUUUGUGAUGUGCAUUCUAGCUCCAUAAAACUCAAAAUGUGUGAAAAUUCUUUGUAACUUUACUAAAAAUUGGGGGCACUCUAUAGUUUACAAAACUAUCCCCAUCCAGGCAGGGCACGGUGGUUCACACCUGUAAUCCCAGCACUCUGGGAGUCUGAGGCGGGCGGAUCACCUGAGGUGAGGAGUUCAAGACCAGCCCGACCAACAUUGUGAAACCCCGUCUCUACUAAAAAUACAAAAUUAGCCGGGCGUGGUGACGCAUGCCUGUAAUCCCACUUACUCGGGAGGCUGAGGCAGGAGAAUCGCUUGAACCCGGGAGGCAGAGGUUGCAGUGAGCUGAGAUCGCACCAUUAUACUCCAGCCUGGGCAACAAGAACAAAACUCCGACUCAAAAAAAAAAAAAUUCUCCAUCUAGUCCUCUGAGGUGAGCAGCAUUUUGUUUGUUUGUUUGUUUUGUUUGUUUUGAGAUGGAGUCUCGCUCUUGUUGCCUAGGCUGGAGUGCAAUGAUGCGAUCUCAGCUCACUACAACCUCUGCCUCCCAGGUUCAAGCGAUUCUCCUGCUUCAGCUUCCCGUGUAGCUGGGAUUACAGGUGCGCACUACCAUGCUUGGCUAAUUUUUGUAUUUUUAGUAGAGACAGGGUUUCACCAUGUUGGCCGGGCUAGUCUCGAAUUCCUGACUUCAGGUGAUCCACCCACCUCAGCCUCCCAAAGUGCUGGGAGUACAAGUGUGAGCCACCGAGCCCUGCUUAUUUAUUUAUUUAUUUAUUUAGAGACAGAGUCUCUGUCAUCCAGGCUAGAGUGCAGUGGCACUAUUUCAGCUUACUACAGCCUCCGCCUCCCAGAGCUAAAGCAAUUCUCCUGCCUCAGCCUCCUGAGUAGCUGGGAUUACAGGCAUGUGCCACCACACCCGGCUAAUUUUUGUAUUUUUAGCAGGUGGCGUUUCGCCAUGUUGGCCAGGCUGGUGGUGGCACAAUUGGAGGGCAGAAGGGACAGUAAAAGAUGCCCUAGAAGCUCAGAAGAAGGAAAGACCUCAGAAGGCUUCGACGCAUGGGUGGGGCUGCUGUUGCAGCUGGACCUUCAAGGAUGAUAGAAUCUAAACAAAUGCAGUAGUAAUGAAAGAGGUAAAAGAUGGGAAACCAUGGAAAAUAUACAGAGGUAAUAAUUAGAUGAAGCCCCCACGUGGUGACUUGUGCCUGAAAUCACAAGUGUGCCCAGAAACGGGGCCUCACUGUGUUGUCCAGUCUGGUCUCGAACUCCUGUUUCAAGCAAUCUUCAUGCCUCAGCCUCCUAAAGUGCUGGGAUUACAGGAGUGAGCCACUGCAUCCGGCCACCCUUCAUUUUAAAAGUACAUUUCUGGCCAGGUGCGGUGGCUUAUGCCUGUAAUCCCAGCACGUUGGGAGUCCAAGGCGGGCCAAUCACUUGAGGUCAGGACUUCAAGACCAGCUUGGCCAACAUGAUGAAACCCCAUCUGUACUAAAAAUACAAAAAUUAGCUGGGUGUGGUUGUGUGAACCUGUAAUUCCAGCUGCUCAGGCGGCUGAGGCACGAGAAUAGCUUGAACCCAGGAGACAGAGGUUGCAGCAAGCUGAGAUCGCACCACUGCACUCCAGCCUGGGUGAUAGAGUGAGACUCAGUCUCAAAAAAAAAAAAAAAAAAACCACAUUUCUGCCCAGGCGCAUUGGCUCAUGUCCAUAAUCCAGCGCUUUGGGAGGCUAAGGUGGGUAGAUCACCUGAGGUCAGGAGUUGGAGACCAGCCUAGCCAAAAUGGUGAAACCCCUUCUCUACUAAAUACAAAAAAUUAGCUGGGCGUGGUGGCAGGUGCCUGUAAUCCCAGCUACUCAGGAGGCUGAGGCAGGAGAAUCGCUUAAACUGGGAAGGCGGAAGUUGCAGUGAGCUGAGAUCGUGCCAUUGCACUCCAGCCUGGACAACAGCGAAACUCUAAAAAAAAAAAAAAAAAAUUAGCCGGGCGUGGUGGCAUCCGCCUGUAAUCCCAGCUACUCAGGAGGCUGAGGCAGGAGAAUCACUUGAACCCAGGAGGUAGAGCUUGCAGUGAGCCAAGAUCGCACCAUUGCACUCCAGCCUGGGCAACAAGAGUGAAACUCCAUCGCAAAAAAACAUAAUAGUAAGGCCGGGCGCGGUGGCUCAAGCCUGUAAUCCCAGCACUUUGGGAGGCCGAGGCGGGCAGAUCACAAGGUCAGGAGAUCAAGACCAUCCUGACUAACACGGUGAAACCCCGUCUCUAUUAAAAAUACAAAAAAUUAGCUGGGUGUGGUGGCGGGUGCCUGUAGUCCCAGCUGCUCAGGAGGCUGAGGCAGGAGAAUGGCAUGAACCUGGGAGGCGGAGCUUGCAGUGAGCCGAGAUCGUGCCACUGCACUCUAGCCUGGGCGACAGAGCAAGACUCCAUCUCAAAAAAUAAUAAUAAUAAUAAUAAUAAUAAAUAAAUAAAAUAUAUUUCCCCAAGGUUCAAGCCUCCACCCUCUUUGCCUUGGUUUCAAUAUACUGUAGGCCAGUGAUUCCCAACUGGGGGUGACUGCUCCUAGAGGGCAUUUGGCAAUGUCUGGAGACAUUUUUGUUUGUCACAAAUGGGCAGAAAGACAGGGAGGAGACGUAGGUGCUACUGACAUCUAGUGGGUAGAGGCUAGGGAUGCUGCUAUUAAUACUACAUCCUACAAUGCACAGGACAGCUCUUCACAGGAAUUAUCUGGUCCAAAAUAUUAAUUGCUCUGAGGUUGAGUAACCCCCUUCUAGGCCAACACAUCUAAAUGGCUGCUAAAUAUUUUCACAUGAUUAUUGGGUUAUGAGUUUAUUUUUCCUAGAAACUUUCACUGACUACUCAAUUAGACUUCCCUCCUGUUACUAGCAAUAUUAGACCUAAUGUCCCAAAACAUGGGUGUUAUCUGAGUCCUUCCUUUCCAUGCUUUUCCCUGCCAGUCCUGAGAGUCCAUUAUGUACUGGUAGAUUAGGAUAAAUCAGUUAUUUUAUUUAAAAAUGUUCAUUCUGAGGCCAGGCACAGUGGCUCACGCCUGUAAUCCCAGCACUUUGAGAGGCCCAGGAAGGCAGAUCAUCUGAGGUCAGGAGUUCGAGACCAGCCUGGCCAACAUGGUGAAACCCCAUCUCUACUAAAAAUACAAAAAUUAGCCGGGCAUGGUGGUGGGCACCUGUAAUCCCAGCUACUGGGGAGGCUGAGGCAGGAGAAUCACUUGAACCUGGGAGGCGGAGGUUGCAGUGAGUUGAGAUGGCACUAUUGCACUCCAGCCUGGAUGACAAGAGCAAAACUCUGUCUCAACAACAACAACAACAACAACAACAACAACGGACCGGCGCAGUGGCUCACGCUGGUAAUCCCAGCACUUUGGGAGGCUGAGGCGGGAGGAUCACCUGAGGACAGGAGUUUGAGAGCAGCCUGGCCAACAUGGCGAAACCC